UUCAUAAUAACACCGAUGAGAAAAACAGUGACUCCCAGAGGGACCACGGUCUGCGUGGAGCUGGCACCUUCUCCCCUGAUCCGCAGGGUUUUCUCUGGGUUGUCAGGUUUCCUUGAACUGGCACGUCCACAUUGUCCCGGUGUGAGCAAGUGUGGGUGCGAGUGUGAGUGAACCCCGUGAUGGCUUGUUGUCCUGUCCAAGCCUGGCUCCCCCGCCUUGUACCCUGAGCUGCUGAGAUUGGCUCUGGCUAAUCACAACCCUGAACUGGAAUAAUUGGGGCUCUGAAGAAAUACUAAUGAAAAAUGAGAAUUACCAUUUCAAGAGAUGGAUGCAUUUGAGUGGCCAAAUUCAGGUACCAUGUGAAGGUCUGGGCAUAGAACGGGAAACAAGAAAGAUAAGGCCCUUGCUUACAUAGAACUUGGUGAAGAAUCUAGACCAUAAAAAGCACACAGAGAAAAUAUAUCACAAAUUGUGCUAAAGUUCUGUAAAAGGACUAAGAUGAAGUCUCACAAGACUGAAUUAGACAGAGUGCCCUUGAAAGAGGCCCAGUGACUCACAGCCAUAAUCCCAGCACUGUGGAAGGC